CGCAGGGUCACUGAUCACUGUUCGUUGAAUUCUGAUCCACCUUCUCCAACGAAACCUAAUGUUUCACGAAGACUAAGACGUGCCUAAAUUUCAGCUGCACUUAUUAUAUUUUCACCUUUAUUAUGAGACUUAAAUAUUAACAAAUAUCAUUCCUUUUAGGCCUUACCAAGAAAUAUGGACACACCAAGAACUAAUCUGGAUAUUAGAUGUAGUAAUCAAGUUCUUGGCAAGUUUUAUGAAGGACUGAAGAAAGUCAACAUGUCCAGUCACAGUCACAGUCACAGUGAACUCUAUGUUGUUAUGGAACGUAUCCUGUCAAACUUAGAAAUAGAAAAGGGAAACAUGUCAAGGACAAUAGACUGCCAGCAACCUCAAGUGGUGAAAGUGAGGUCGACAGAGUUCCUGACAAGAUUCACUAACCUUUUACAAGUCAUUAACAGAAACAGCCGGGGCAGAAGGCAUUUAAGCCCAAAAUAAUAUUGGAUUUUGGUCAAACUGAAAACCCUUGAAAGGGUAAAGAUGCCAACAAGUUAAUGAGUUAUUUGAUUCAAAUCAAUACAAAUGCAUAUAACAUUUCCAAAUUAAUGAAUGAGAUUUAUUGAAUAAUUUGCCUUUUUUAAGGACUGUGUUUCAAAAGAAUGUAAUAAUUAAGAAUUAUAUAGUAUUUAUUUAUUUAUUAUGUCACUCUUGUGGGAGUUACUCAAAUGGUAAUAAGAAAAUAUUUUUAUAUUGUGUAUAGUAAUUGAUGUUACUGUUGUCGAUAUUUAUACCUGAGUAAAUUAUUUUUGCUUACUUUCUAUUUUCUAAAAAAAAAAUGCAUGUAAUUAAGAGGUUUAUAAUUGUUAGUUAUAAGGUCUUUGGCUGCGGGAAAGGGCACCCCCCCCUUAGAUUAGAGAGUAGACUAGAUUUGAUUCAUCACCAAGAACUGACUAAAAACCAAUUGCCUAGAAACUGAAUGGCACUAGAGAAGAUCUGUUAGAUUGUCAAUUUAUGGUGGAGUUUUAAGAAUGCUUAACACUCUAUGUGCACUAGCCUCUGAAGAUUCCAGGACAUCUUCAAGGAGCAAUGUCUCAGAAAGGCCUCACUAUGGACCCCAUCACCCAGGUCAUGCCUUGUUCUCAUUGCCACCAUCAGGAAGGAGGUUCAGAAACAUAAAGGCACAUACUCAACAAUUAAGGAACAACUUCUUCCUCUCUGCUCUCUGAUAUCUGAAUGGACAUUGAACUCUUGCACACUACCUCACUACGUUUUUAUUUCUAUUUUUGCUCUACUUAUUAAAUUUACUAUUAAAUGUGUAUAUAUAUUUUUGUAUUUCACAGAUUUUUCUCUAUUAUUAUAUAUGCGAUUGCAGUGCUACUGCCAAGUUAACAAAUUUCACCAUAUAUGCUGGUGACUUAAAGCUGAUUCUGAAGGGAAUCUUGCAGGAAAAUUCAGCAGUGUACCAGGCUUAAACAUAAAACAUGAAACAUAGAAAAGUACAGCACAGUACUGGCCAUUCAGCCCAUAAUGUUGUACUGAACUGUAUAAACCUACGUCCACGAUCAAUCUAACGCAUUUGUCCAUUUUUCCUACAUCCAUGUGCCAAUCUAAAAUGUCCAGAAUUCCUCAGCUUCUACCACCACCCUGGCAGUGUGCUGCAUCACCUACCACUCUCUGCGUAAAUAUCCUACCUCUGACAUCUCCCCUAAACUUUCCUCCACUCACAUUUAACUGUUCUCCUAUGCAUCCUAUGCACUCAAAAAAUUAGUAUUGCCUAGAAAUGACAGGUGCAAGCCACAUCAGCUUUCAGGCCUGUUUUGUAUAACAAAAAAGAACAAUAUUAAUGUGGUCAAGUUUUGUGUUAACUUUGAGAGUGACAAUGAAUGGAUUAAUUGAUAAGCUAAUAAAAAGUUAACUACAUUGCCAAGAGGAAACAUGACCCCUAGAAAGAGUGUGAGAUAAUAACUAAAUUGGUAAAGUGAGAUGGCAUAGAGUAUGAAAGUGAACAGGAAAAAAAAACAGACAUUGAAGAGAUUUUGCUGUACAAAAAGGUGAGCUGAACUUAACAAAACUAAACUUAGCAAAGCUAAACAUUGGCACUUUGAUGAUCAGACACAGAAAAAAAGAUAACGGACCCCUCUCAUCUUCUAAAUUAAAUACUGACUGAGAUGUGAAACAAGUUCCUUGUGAUUGCCUUUAUAGCAAAAGAUACACAGAACAUGCUAAAUGUAAGAUGAACCAAGAAUCUAUUGAGAGAGUAAAAUAUAUGAUCCUCCUAAGCAAAAUGUACAAGAGGAAUUAUUGGGUGUGACUUGGAGCUCAAGAGUUACAGACAUUUGAUUCUGUAAUGGAAAUAGUUAGAAUAGUUUGCAAUAGCUUAUAUUCCCUUUUAAAGUGUAUUUACCUGCCUAAGACAGAAAACAACAAAUGUUUAUUAAACUGCUUCUUGGGGAGUACGGGUUGAUCUGCAAGGAGAGGUUAAGUAGCCCAUAAGACCAUAAGACAUAGACUCAGAAUGAGGCUAUUUAGCCCAUCAAGUCUGCUCAGCCAUUUCAAUAUGGCUGAUCCAUUUCCCUCUUAACCCCAUUCUUCCACCUUCUCCCAAUAACCUUUCAUGCCCUGACUAAUCCAGAAUUUACCAAUCUCCGCUUAAAGUGCACCCAGUAAUCUGACCUCCACAGCCGCCUAUGGCAAUGAAUUCCAUGGGUUUACCACCCUCUGGCUAAAGAAAUUUCUGCUCACUUGUAUUCUAAAUGGAUAUCCCUCAAUUUUGAGGCUGUGCUUUCUGGUCCUAGGUUACCACUCCUCUUCAGCUUCACUCUACCUAGGCUUUUCAACAUUCGAUAGGUUUCAAUGAGGUCCUCCCUCAUUUUUCUAAAUUCCAGUGAGUACAGGCUUAGAGCCAUCAAUCACUGCUCAUAUGGUAAGCCUUUAAUUCCUGUAACUAUUCUCAUGAACCUUCUCUGAACCAUCUUCAAUGUCAGCACAUCCUUUCUGAGAUAAGGGGCUCAAAACUGUUCCCAAUACUCCAUAUGAGGCCUCACCAGUGCCUUAUACAGAUCAGCAUUACAUCUUUACUUUUAUAACCUAGUCCUCUUGAACGAAUGCUAACAUUGCAUUUGUCUUCCUCAUCACCAACUCAACCUGCAAAUUAACCCUUGGGGAAUCCUGCACAAAGACUCCCAAAUCUCUUCGCAUCUUAGAUUUUUGUAUUGUCUACACAUUUAGAAAAUAGUCUAUGCUUUUAUUUCUUCCAUCAUAGUGCAUGACCAUAGACAUUCCUACACUGUAUUCCAACUGCCAUUUUUUUGCCCAUUCUCCUGAUCUGUCUAAGUCCUUCUGCAGCCUCUGCACUUCCUCAACAGUACCAGCCCCUUCACCUAUCUUUGUAUCGUCCGCAGACUUGGCCACAAUGCCAUCAAUUUCAUCGUCCAAAUCAUUGACAUACAAAAUAUACUGAAGUGGUUCCCCAAUACAGACUCCAGUGGAACACUACUAGUCACCAGUAGCUAAUCAGAAAAGGAUCCAUUUAUUCCCACUCUUUGUCUCCAGCCAUUCAGACAAUGCUCUAUCCAAGCUAGAAUUUUUCCUGUAAUACCCUGGCCUCUGAUCAUGUUUAGCAGCCUCAUGUGUGGCACCUUGUCAAAGACCUUCUGAAAAUCUACGUACACAACAUCCACUGAUUCUUCUUUGUCUAUCCUGCUUGUUAUUUCUUAAAAGAAUUCCAACAGGUUUGUCAGGCAAGGUUUCUUCUCAAGGAAACCAUGCUGACGCUGGCCUAUUUUGUCAUGUAUCUCCAAGUACCCCGAAACCACAUUGUUAACAAUAAUUUCCAACAUCUUCCCAAGCUUUGAGGUCAGGCUAACUGGCCUAUAAUUUCAUUUCUUCGGCCUCUCUCCAUUCUUGAAGAAUGGCAUGACAUUUGGAGUUUUCCGGUCCUCCAGAACCAUGCCAGAAUCUAUUGAUUCUUUAAAGUAUAUACUCUGUCAGGUUUAGAAGGUUGAGGAUAAUUAUUUUGAAGCAUACAAAAUUAUUAGAGAAUUGACAGUCAAGAUGGUCAAUGUAUUUCCCCUCUAUGGAUAGUCAAGAUCUUUGGGACUUGGUCUCAGAAUGGAAGAUCUUCCAUUUAAGUCUGAGGUGAGAAGAAAUUUAUCACCAAGAAGACGAAUAAACAUUUUUAAUUCUUCAGUUCAAGACAGAUACAGAUGCUCACCUGCUGGCUAGACGCAAAGUUCAAUGUUCAAAGUAAAUUUAUUAUCAAAGUGCAUAUAUGUCAUUGUGUACCGUACUACUUCAAGAUUCACUUUUUUGCAGGCAUUCACAAUAGAAUAGAGAAAUACAAUAUAAUCAAUGAAAAACUAGUAACAAAUGCUGACAAGCAACCUACAUACAAAAUAAGACAAGCUGUGCAAAUAAAAAAUAAAUAAAUCAGUAAAUAUCUAACAUUGAGAACAUGAAUUGUAGAGCCCUUGAAGAUGAGUUCAUUGGUUGUGGAAUCAGUUCAGCAUUAAGGUGAGUGAAGCUAUCUACACUGGUUCAGGAUCCUGAUGGUUGAAGGGUAAUAACUGUUCCCGAACCUGGUGGUGUGGGACCUAAGACUUCUGUACCUGCUGCCCAAAGGUCCAGCAAGAAGAGGGUAUGGUCAGAAUGGUGGGGUCAUUGAUGAUUGUUACUGCUUUUUCGUGGCAGCACUCCUUGCAGAUGUACUCAAGUCUAUGAUCAACAGAUUUCAGGCACUAUGGCAAAGGAUUGAGAUCUAGCAGAAAAUGUAUUUGGUGUAGUAGCAUAACCAUGACCUUAAGGAACCAAAAAGAGAUUGAAUGGCACACAUGUUUUACACCCAUUCCAAUUCUUCUUAUGUUCUUCUGUCUUGUAAGACACUCUGAGUAAAUAAAAAUUGUCUCCUGAUUGUGGGCAAAUCUCAUUUGAAACUGGCUUCCAAAUAAUGAUCUCUGAUGUAAAGAGAGCCUUUAUCCUUCAUAAAUCAAGCUACCGAUACAGGAGAUAGGAUGUCAUGUUGAAAUUGUAUAAAACAUUGCUGAGCCCUAAUGUGGAGUAUUGUGUGCAGUCCUGAGGCUAGAGCAAAAGAAAAACUCAACAGCUUCUCUGGAGGCAAUGGGAUGGCUAAUGUUUCCUGCUGAGACACUGUGUUAGCACUGAAGCAGACAUAUUCUGUUUGGUGUUUGCCCUGGACAUGAAGACUAGAUCAUUGUUAGCAUAUUUUCAAUCAA